rnacentral:lncRNA from 10 species
GAGGGAUGGCGCCGGCGCAGGCCUGCGCGCCACGCGCUUUAGGUGGAUGAGGGAUGGCGCAGGUGCAGGCCUGCGCGCCUCACGCUUUAUGUACAUGAGGGAUGAGGCAGCACAGGAAUUGGCACAACCUGAAGUCAGCUCUGCAGCUUUCCAAGCUUCGUUCUGCGUGUCCUGUACUCAACAGUCAUCUCAUGCUGCAGGGUGGCUGCGUGUGCUCCGUACAUCACACCCAUAUUUCAGGGAGAAGACUGCACAUAUAACACAGCUCUGCAUGGAAAACCUUCCGCCUGGAGGGGUGGCUUCCUAGAGGUGUGGCGUUGCCCUCUGUCUUGAACAGGCUGUGAGCCGUUUUGUCAUUUGGGGUUUCUAGAUGCAAACAGCAGAAGCUGCUGGCCAAUUACCAAAGGGAACGUGCUGUUAGGAUAUCAGGGCCUGGGAGCUGCAGCAAUGUGGGCUGACAGCAGAGAGCUAAGGCACUUUCCGAGGUGACGAGCUGGGCUGCUAUGCUGGAGACGGCUGGGCAGAAGCAGUUAGCAGGGCAUUUCCUUGUGUCCUUAUCUCAAGAGUCACAGUUUCAGGAGUGAGCAUCUCAGAGGUCAGGGUUCAUUCACAUGCCACCUCCCUUCUCACUGUGUCAUUGGGGAGGGGCCGUCUGGACCCUCUGGCUCCUGUGGCAAGAAAUGGUCCCAUCAAGUCAUCCAAGGGCCUGGAAGCCUCCCAAGGAAAGCAGGAGGGCUGGGUGCUGAGCAGCGUCCAGCAGCAAAGGUAGGCUCCAGCCCCGCAGGUGUGGCUGCGCCAUCCCAGGGAACGUGCCCCAGCAAGUGCUGGUGCUGCUCUCACUACAGGUGGGGUUGGUUUCACUGGACAGGUGGCACUUCCUCACCUCUUGCCCUCUGGACCCACGGCAGGCACUUUCCAGGGCACAUCACGUGGGUGUGCGGUCUGGCUGCUGGGUCCACGCGGGUUCUCAAUCAUGACCUGGCUUGCAAGCUCUUUCCACAGUUGGAUAAAUGAAGCCGUUGGGGAAGUAUCCGCAAACUCUUACAGUGAGUAUGUGAUAAUGACACACGCGUGGCCCUUCUAAGACCUCCGCUAGGCAUUAUCAGUGACUGUGCUCGUGAGCGCUGACCUCCGCUAGGCGUUAUCAGGGACUGUGCUCGUGAGCGCCGACCUCCGCUAGGCGUUAUCAGGGACUGUGCUCGUGAGCGCGGACCUCCGCUAGGCGAUAUCAGGGACUGUGCUCAUGAGGGCGGACUUUCACCAGCCACGCUUCCGAGGAGUGGAGUCUUUCUCAGCUCUGCCUCUCCAAGAUGACCAUCUUGUGAAGACGAUGCGUUCUUUAUACACAAGUUCUGUGUGUGUGUGUGUGUGUUCCACACACAGGACCAAAGUUGAGAUAGGCGCACAUUUUCUUGGUCCCACUUGUGGCCCCAGUCGGCUGUCAGAAGUGGGUGUGCUCCACAUGUACCCACCAUGUCAGGGCACAGUGCUCACAUUUCACACCUCAGCAGGUGCCUUGAUGUUGACCAGAGGCCCCAAAAUCAUCUCUUUCUAUGACUUCUAGAUCUUAGAUUCCCAGGAACUGGGAAAUGCAGUCAGUAUCUUUUGGGUCCAAGAAACUUUGUCAGAGCCCUUGUGGGAGAACCAUAGAUUCUCACCAGAUAAACAGAAGAGCUUCGUGUUAGAGAAACCCGCCUGUCUCCCCACAUUCUCAGUUUUCUGGAGAGCAGCUGAAAGCCAUCUGGGUGGAGAUUAAGAGCUCCAACCGUGUAGCUUUGAUGUAUCGGGCAAGUUGCUUAAGCUCUUUAAUGCUGUUUCCUCAUUUAUUGUGUGAGGCCAAAAAUACCCAUUCCUUAAAGUUGUGAGGAUUAAAAACAGUAAUGAAAAGUGAGUGGCAAGUGCCGAGUACACAGUCAAGUACCUGAUACUUUUUAGUGUAAGGUAAGUAGCAAGAAAGCAUGAAAUUUAUUUUCAUUUACUCUUACUACAUGUGGUAAACCAUCUAUGCACAGAGCACUGCAUUGGGUGCCAUGAAUGACAGAAUAAGAGUACCAGGUGCAUGAAAAGCUUAAAAGACAAAUGAGACAGAGCUAGGCUGCAGAAGACUUAAAAAGUUGAUGUAUUUAACUUUUAAUGGACACACUGUACAUGUUUAUGGGGUACGAUUUGUUGUUUCCAUGCAUAUCUGUGUUGUGUAAUGAUCCAAUCAGGGUAGUGUGUGUGCCCAUUUCCUCAAGGGUGGAUCAUUAUGUGUAUCAUCGUGCAUCAUCAUGUAUCAUGCAUGUACCAUCAUCAUGCAUCAUUGUGCAUCAUCAUGCCUGUAUCAUUAUGUAUCACCUCAUGCAUAUAUUAUAAUGUAUCACCUC